GGCCCCGUAGCUCAGCUGGUUAGNNCGCCCUGUCACGGCGGAGGUCGCCGGUUCAAGUCCGGUCGGGGUCGCCA
rnacentral:tRNA from 1 species